GCUGGGUGGAUUAGUGGCGAACGGGUGAGUAACACGUGAGUAACCUGCCCCCGACUUUGGGAUAAGCCCGGGAAACUGGGUCUAAUACCGGAUAUGACUUCCUGCCGCAUGGUGGGUUGUUGAAAGAUUUAUCGGUGGGGGAUGGACUCGCGGCCUAUCAGCUUGUUGGUGAGGUAAUGGCUCACCAAGGCGACGACGGGUAGCCGGCCUGAGAGGGUGACCGGCCACACUGGGACUGAGACACGGCCCAGACUCCUACGGGAGGCAGCAGUGGGGAAUAUUGCACAAUGGGCGGAAGCCUGAUGCAGCGACGCCGCGUGAGGGAUGACGGCCUUCGGGUUGUAAACCUCUUUCAGUAGGGAAGAAGCGAAAGUGACGGUACCUGCAGAAGAAGCGCCGGCUAACUACGUGCCAGCAGCCGCGGUAAUACGUAGGGCGCAAGCGUUAUCCGGAUUUAUUGGGCGUAAAGAGCUCGUAGGCGGUUUGUCGCGUCUGCCGUGAAAGUCCGAGGCUCAACCUCGGAUCUGCGGUGGGUACGGGCAGACUAGAGUGAUGUAGGGGAGACUGGAAUUCCUGGUGUAGCGGUGAAAUGCGCAGAUAUCAGGAGGAACACCGAUGGCGAAGGCAGGUCUCUGGGCAUUUACUGACGCUGAGGAGCGAAAGCAUGGGGA
rnacentral:rRNA from 1 species